rnacentral:misc_RNA from 1 species
AAUUGGAUGGACAGAAUACAACUGUGAGUACAAUAUAGUGUUUCUUUUAUUUUAUAUUUGUAGACUUGAUUUGUGUAUUGAUUCAUACUUCAUGAAGUCAGACAAAGAACUAGAGUCUCUUCCUUGCUUCUUCUUCUUCUUUUGUGUAUUUGAUUCAUACUUCAUGGAGUCAGACAAAGAACUAGUGUCUCUUCCUUGCUUAAUAUUUGUGCAUUCAACUCUUUGGGUUCUUCAAAGUGUUCUUCUGUGUUUUAAUGUUUUCAUAUUUUUGGAUUUGCGAAAACUCGAUAACUGAUUGGUUGUAUUUGGAUUUCACAGUAGUUGACCAUAGUUUACAUUUUCAAAGUUGCUGAGUUGCAGAUUCUUUUACAAUUGUAUGGCAGAUGUAUAUUGUUUUGUUUUCUCAGUAUUCUUAAUUAUCCCAAUUUACACGUAAUACCUUUUUUUGUCACCCUUUCCGUUCUUCCGCACUCUGGCAUAACUUCUUAAUUAUCUUCUUUAUUGUCGCACAUAACUUUAUUUCUGAGUUCCCUCACCCCUUCUUUUCCCUUCUUCCUGUUUGUUUUAAUGACA